rnacentral:rRNA from 1 species
AUUGAACGCUGGCGGCAGGCUUAACACAUGCAAGUCGAGCGGGGAAGGGUAGCUUGCUACCUAACCUAGCGGCGGACAGGUGAGUAAUGCUUAGGAAUCUGCCAUUUAGUGGGGGACAACAUUCCGAAAGGAAUGCUAAUACCGCAUACGUCCUACGGGAGAAAGCAGGGGAUCUUCGGACCUUGCGCUAAAUGAUGAGCCUAAGUCGGAUUAGCUAGUUGGUGGGGUAAAGGCCUACCAAGGCGACGAUCUGUAGCGGGUCUGAGAGGAUGAUCCGCCACACUGGGACUGAGACACGGCCCAGACUCCUACGGGAGGCAGCAGUGGGGAAUAUUGGACAAUGGGCGGAAGCCUGAUCCAGCCAUGCCGCGUGUGUGAAGAAGGCCUUAUGGUUGUAAAGCACUUUAAGCGAGGAGGAGGCUACUUAGAUUAAUACUCUAGGGUAGUGGACGUUACUCGCAGAAUAAGCACCGGCUAACUCUGUGCCAGCCGCCGCGGUAACAC